UACAAUUCUUGGAACAAAAUAGGUGCUUAAUAAAUGCUUGUUGAUUUGACUAUAUGGAAUGUUUAGACAGAGUCACAAUAGAGACUUGUGAAAUAAUGCUGAAGGAAUUCAUCCUUCUGUUAGUGGUUAAGGUAGAUGAACAUAAGAGUUCAUAACUAUGAAACAGUUUUUUGCUUGUUUUCUUCCUGUCUAGAGUUACACUGAUUUGCAUAGUCAUUUUCCCUCUUAUUCUAUUAUAAAAAUUUUGUUACAAGGACCAUGGUUUUUAUUCAACAUUGAAUAACUCAAAGGUGUGGGCAUGUAAGAUUGAACAUUAUAAUGGCCAAGACAAAUCACAGUGGAUAUAGUCAAAGGGACUGGCCUCUCAGAUUCUGGAAGUAUUGCCAAGAAGAAUAAACAUCUAUUGUUGGAAAGUGAGAAAACAGAGGUCAUGGUGAAAAAGCUGAAAUACAGCAGCUGAUACCUGGGAAGUGGAAAAUAAUGAAGGUAUUCUCCCAAGUUCACGUAUGACUAACUUUCUUCCAAAGUGGUGUUCAAUUAGACCAACUGAGACAAAAAUCUAAAGCACAUUUUUACAUAACAACAGGUUUCUUCAAACUGUUCCAAAUUCCUACAGAAGAUAGAGUCAAAGGUCCUAUUUUACUACUCAUUAGCACACCAUUGCUAAAACAGAGAAUUUUCACUUUCAGGAUGUUAUUCUACCUCAACUGUACAUCCAAAAGAAAAAAUUUAUUUGGAGAAAUUGUUGGAGAGGAAAUUAUGCCAUGUGCCACAGAGGAAAACAACAUCUGUCUAUACCACUGUCUAAACCUUUUUUUUUUCCCCAAGAUCACAACUGACUCCAUGCUUUCUCCUCAUUUAAAUGUGUCAUACUGUAAAAAGAUAAUAAUCUCAUCUAAAGAUUGGGAUGUAAGAGAUAAGGCUUUUUCCCUUCAUUUUCCUUAUUAAACACUUAAGAACAACAGUUCUCAAACUGGUUAGUAGACAGUACCCCAACUGUCUUUCAAGAAGUCCACUAGAUCAAAACUAUUUUCAUAUUAAUAUUAAGAUGUUGUCUAAUAAAAAUAUUCCUUUUUUCUAUCUACACAUCUGUGUGAAGCAAAAUUUUCUUCAUAUAAUUAUACCAAAACAGCACUGCAACAGAUUAAAUGAAGAAA